UACGGAGGGUGCGAGCGUUGUCCGGAAUCACUGGGCGUAAAGAGCUCGUAGGUGGCCUGUCGCGUCGGCUGUGAAAACUCGGGGCUCAACUCCGAGCUUGCAGUCGAUACGGGCAGGCUAGAGUUCGGCAGGGGAGACUGGAAUUCCUGGUGUAGCGGUGAAAUGCGCAGAUAUCAGGAGGAACACCGGUGGCGAAGGCGGGUCUCUGGGCCGUAACUGACGCUGAGGAGCGAAAGCGUGGGGAGCGAACAGG
rnacentral:rRNA from 1 species